UGCCAGACUCCUACGGGAGGCAGCAGUGGGGAAUAUUGGGCAAUGGAGGCAACUCUGACCCAGCAACGCCGCGUGAAUGAUGAAGGUCUUCGGAUUGUAAAGUUCUUUUCUAAGGGAAGAAGAAAGUGACGGUACCUUAGGAAUAAGCCUCGGCUAACUACGUGCCAGCAGCCGCGGUAAUACGGAGGAUGCGAGCGUUAUCCGGAUUUAUUGGGUUUAAAGGGUGCGCAGGCGGAGGUGCAAGUCAGCGGUCAAAUUGCGGGGCUCAACCCCGUACUGCCGUUGAAACUGCAUCCCUUGAGUGCGCGAGAAGUAUGCGGAAUGCGUGGUGUAGCGGUGAAAUGCAUAGAUAUCACGCAGAACUCCGAUUGCGAAGGCAGCAUACCGGCGCGCAACUGACGCUCAUGCACGAAAGCGUGGGUAUCGAACAGGAUUAGAUACCCUCGUA
rnacentral:rRNA from 1 species